rnacentral:rRNA from 1 species
GACGAACGCUGGCGGCGUGCUUAACACAUGCCAGUCGAACGGUGAAGCGCCUUCCUUUUUGGUGGGUGUGGAUGAGUGGCGAACGGGUGAGUAACACGUGAGUAACCUGCCCCCUUCUUCUGGAUAACCGCAUGAAAGUGUGGCUAAUACGGGAUAUUCUGGGUCUGUCGCAUGAUGGGUCUGGGAAAGAUAUUGUUUCGGUGGGGGAUGGGCUCGCGGCCUAUCAGCUUGUUGGUGGGGUGAUGGCCUACCAAGGCGGUGACGGGUAGCCGGCCUGAGAGGGUGGACGGUCACACUGGGACUGAGACACGGCCCAGACUCCUACGGGAGGCAGCAGUGGGGAAUAGUGCACAAUGGGCGCAAGCCUGAUGCAGCGACGCCGAGUGAGGGAUGGAGGCCUUCGGGUUGUGAACCUCUUUCGCCAGUGAAGCAGGCCUGCCUCGUUUGUGGGUGGGUUGACGGUAGCCGGAUAAGAAGCGCCGGCUAACUACGUG